rnacentral:lncRNA from 1 species
UUUUUUUUUUUUUUUUUUUUGUAUUAAGAAAAUAUCUUCUAGGAGUUCCUGUCAUGGCUCAGUGGUUAACGAAUCCGACUAGGAACCAUGAGGUUGUGGGUUCGAUACCUGGCCUUGCUCAGUGGGUUAAGGAUCCAGUGCUGCCAUGAGCUGUGGUGUAGGUGGCAGAUUCGGCUUGGAUCUGGCAUUGCUGUGGCUCUGGCAUAGGCUGGCAGCUACAGCUCCAAUUACACCCCUAGCCUGGGAACCUCCAUAUGCCGCCAGAGCGGCCCUAGAAAAGACAGAAAAGACAAAAAAAAANNNNNNNNNNNNNNNNNNNNNNNNNNNNNNNNNNNNAAAGAAAAAAGGAAAUUCUUCUAAUAUUUUCUAUUAUCUCAGUUUCUUUAAUGAUUUUCCCUAAAUAUUUUUCUUCUAUAUAUAUUUGAAUUAUUAUUUUAGUGGUUGCUCUAGGGUUUACUUAUCAGAAGCAGCUUUGUAUUUAUAUCAGUUAAUUCCUGUUAUAUUUAAAAAUAUUACUCCUAUCUACUUCUACUCUCUUCCCCUCCUCUUGUGGCAUUUUGAUAUAGUAUAUACAUACAUCAAACCCACACCACAGCAUAUUUCUUCCUUGUCUUUGACUUUCAGCAUUUUUUUGCUCUACUGUGUCUGUUGAUCUCUUGUAUUUAUCCUAUUUGGAAUUUGUUGAGCUUCCUAGAUGUACAGGCUAUAGUUUUUCAAAUUUGGGAGGUUUGUAGCCAUUUUUAUUUUGAAUAUUUUUUUCUGCUCCUUGUUCUCCUCUCCUUCUGGUAGUCCUGUUAUGCAUACAUGAGUGUGCUUAAUGAUGUUCCACACUUCUCAGGCUCUUGACAUUUUUUCUGUUCUUUGGCUUAUAUAAUCCCUAUCCAUCUAGAUUCAAGUUAGCUCAUUCUUUCUUCUGCCAGGUCAAGUCUCCUCUUAAGCCCCUAAUGAAGUUAUUUCAGUUAUUGUACUUUUCAACUCCAGAAUUUCUGUUUGGUUCAUUUUUAUAAUUUCUGAGUCACAUCCCUGCUAUAAGGGCUUAAUAUCUCUUUCUUUAUUGAUAAUUUCUAUUUGAUUUGACAUUGUUGUCAUACCUUAAUCACGCUUUUCUUUAGUUC